rnacentral:sRNA from 1 species
AUUCAGAUGGUUAAUGAAUCCAGUGUUUUUGCAGUUGAAAGCUCGUGCAUUCACUGGGCAAAAGCUGGCUGCAGGUUGCAGUGGCACCGCGCAGGACAGACAUUAAUUAUAUUUCCUACUUUUUUCAAUAAUGUUUGGCUACUCGGUUCAGCGAGGAAGAAUGCCUCCAACCCAGCCCAAUCCAGGCCAGUACGCACUCACCAACGGGGACCCCCUCAACGGCCACUGCUACCUGUCCGGCUACAUCUCGCUGCUGCUGCGCGCCGAGCCCUACCCCACGUCGCGCUACGGCAGCCAGUGCAUGCAGCCCAACAACAUUAUGGGCAUCGAGAACAUCUGCGAGCUGGCCGCGCGCCUGCUCUUCAGCGCCGUCGAGUGGGCCCGCAACAUCCCCUUCUUCCCGGAUCUGCAGAUCACCGACCAGGUGUCCCUGCUACGCCUCACCUGGAGCGAGCUGUUCGUGCUCAACGCGGCCCAGUGCUCUAUGCCGCUGCACGUGGCGCCGCUGCUGGCCGCCGCCGGCCUGCAUGCCUCGCCCAUGUCCGCCGACCGCGUCGUGG